UGAUCCAUGCAGAUUUUGAGUUUUUUUGUUUUGUUUUGUUUUUUUGUUUGUUUUUUACCUUUAGCUCUCGGAGCCUCAGGUGACGUAGGAGAAGAAAGGACAGGAUCCUGGGGGCUUACUGGAGCUGGUGUUUUCUACAUCCUCCUCACCAUGAGCCACAGCUGUGUGAUCAUCCUCAGUACUUAGUUCCUAGUUACAACACAUACGGUUAAAGACUGCUUUGUAAAAAGUGAUUUCUGGGCUCCAGUAGACGAUGGGCUGAGGUUGGGGCAAAAUCGUAGUGUGGCAACAAAGAAGUAACAUCAGACGAGGCUGAGGAAAAGUUUUACUGUGAUGUGUACACAACAUCUCCACCACAGUCAAAUACUAAAAACCAUAGUUAACAUCCUGUGAAAUUAAAAACAAUCUUUGUUGUUUGGUUUUCCCCCCUCACUCCUUUCCAGCACACUCAACAACGCAGUAUGAACAGUAGCAGAAGGGCAGCAAGCAGUACGUAUAAGUACAUAUACUUGCUUUGUUAUCAACUCCAAGGCUUUCUCACAUGAAUCAGGAGUUACUCCACCAACAUCAGUGAAAUUAAAUUGGCAUUAGUAACAGUGUAAAUGAGAAGAUUGCUAUGUAUGAGUCACACAAUAUUUAUUAAUUGUGGAAUGUUAUGGGCAGUGAUUUACUAGGCGUCAUCCAAUUAAUUUCUGCAAAUAAUCAGGUAUACGUGAAAGAUUUGUCCUCUUAACCCACUUCCCUAUCCCAAUUUAUUUUACUACUUCAUUUGAACUUGGAUGGCAUAAGUUGGAAUACUUUUCAGUGUGCUAAGGAUUUUAUAAUAUUGAUUCUGGCACUGUCUUUUUCUGGUUAUCAAAAAUCAUAUUAAUAUUCACAAAUAUUAAUUCACAAAUUGGUACUUUUAAAAAGGCACAUGUACAAGCAACACAAAUGAACUGCAGACUUGGUUGGCUGUUAUAUAAAUUUGCAAGUUAACAUGAGGAUGUUGCCUCCAAAAAUUCCUUCAAGCUAAACAAAUCAUGAGAAACUGUCAAACACCGAUACUUUUUUUGUAUAAUCCCUGCUAUGAUAGAUUAUCUGUUAACUGUUUUUUUUAUUCUUAUCUUUCUCCCAACCAUGACCAUCCUCAUUCAUCCUGUUCCUGUUGAUUCCAAACAAUGUCUAAUUUCUUAAGUUUUAGAAAUACUAGGUCCUUCAAUCACUAUUAUUUAAAGUAAUGUGAGCUUAAAUAAAAUUAUAAUAUAAUUUUAUGAAUCAACAGCAGUAUUUCUGCAUCUCUAUUAAAUAUCAUCAGUGUAAUUAUUUGAACUAAGCAUGAGAUGAAGCAUGUCCACUUAAAAUUUCCACUUUAAAGCGCUACAGAAAAUGUCAUUUUAAAUAUGUUAGUGAACUGACAAAUAUAUGGCCUGAUGCCAUAUAUUUGGGUAAAAGUUUAAUUUUGUUUUUAAAAACACUGGGACCUAAAAAGUGCUUUUCUUGUGGAAGAUCUGAAUUAAGCCUUGCUAUACCAUCAUGACCAGGCUGAUUUCAAAAUUAGGUUUUUAAUUAACCUAAUGCUACUGAGAUCAGUCAUGUCCCUUGCAAAAUAACUCUUUCCCAGUCCAGUCAUGGAGUCAGUGUACUUUUCAGGAGAGGUACAGUGCAAAUUUAUUUUAUUUUAUUUUUUAUUAAUCAUUAUGUACUUUGCAUUAGUCAACCUAAUGUUUUGUUUUGUGUUUUUUCUUUUCUUUUUUUUUUCUGAAGUUUCAUUAAAUAAUCAAAUAUUUCUUGUAUCCUGGGUUAAAGUCAACCUGAGGUAAGAAGAAUUGCAUGUUUUUACAUGUGUGAGCUUUUCCUAACAAAAAUAUGUGAGU